UACGUAGGGCGCAGGCGUUAUCCGGAAUUAUUGGGCGUAAAGAGCUCGUAGGCGGUUUGUCGCGUCUGCCGUGAAAGUCCGGGGCUCAACCCCGGAUCUGCGGUGGGUACGGGCAGACUUGAGUGCAGUAGGGGAGACUGGAAUUCCUGGUGUAGCGGUGAAAUGCGCAGAUAUCAGGAGGAACACCGAUGGCGAAGGCAGGUCUCUGGGCUGUAACUGACGCUGAGGAGCGAAAGCAUGGGGAGCGAACAGG
rnacentral:rRNA from 1 species